rnacentral:rRNA from 1 species
GCGGCGGACGGGUGAGUAAUGCAUAGGAAUCUGCCCGAUAGUGGGGGAUAACCUGGGGAAACCCAGGCUAAUACCGCAUACGUCCUACGGGAGAAAGGGGGCUUCGGCUCCCGCUAUCGGAUGAGCCUAUGUCGGAUUAGCUGGUUGGUGAGGUAAAGGCUCACCAAGGCGACGAUCCGUAGCUGGUCUGAGAGGAUGAUCAGCCACAUCGGGACUGAGACACGGCCCGAACUCCUACGGGAGGCAGCAGUGGGGAAUAUUGGACAAUGGGGGGAACCCUGAUCCAGCCAUGCCGCGUGUGUGAAGAAGGCCCUCGGGUUGUAAAGCACUUUCAGUGAGGAAGAACGCCUGGUGGUUAAUACCCAUCAGGAAAGACAUCACUCACAGAAGAAGCACCGGCUAACUCCGUGCCAGCAGCCGCGGUAAUACGGAGGGUGCGAGCGUUAAUCGGAAUUACUGGGCGUAAAGCGCGCGUAGGU